AACGAACGCUGGCGGCGCGCCUAACACAUGCAAGUCGAACGAGAAGGCGUAGCAAUACGCUUGUAAAGUGGCGAACGGGUGAGGAAUACGUGGGUAACCUACCCUCGAGUGGGGAAUAACCAACCGAAAGGUUGGCUAAUGCCGCGUACGCUUCCACCUUUUCGGAGGUGGAAGGAAAGCUGUACCGUGGGUACAGCGCUCAAGGAUGGGCUCACGUCCUAUCAGCUUGUUGGUAGGGUAACGGCCUACCAAGGCAACGACGGGUAGCUGGUCUGAGAGGACGAUCAGCCACACUGGCACUGCGACACGGGGCCAGACUCCUACGGGAGGCAGCAGUGAGGAAUAUUGCGCAAUGGGCGAAAGCCUGACGCAGCGACGCCGCGUGGGGA
rnacentral:rRNA from 1 species